rnacentral:tRNA from 1 species
GAGGGUAUAGCUCAAGUGGUAGAGCGCAUGCUUAGCAUGCAUGAGGUCCUGGGUUCAAUCCCCAGUAUCUCUU